rnacentral:rRNA from 1 species
UACGGAAGGUCCGGGCGUUAUCCGGAUUUAUUGGGUUUAAAGGGAGCGUAGGCCGGAGAUUAAGCGUGUUGUGAAAUGUAGACGCUCAACGUCUGCACUGCAGCGCGAACUGGUUUCCUUGAGUACGCACAAAGUGGGCGGAAUUCGUGGUGUAGCGGUGAAAUGCUUAGAUAUCACGAAGAACUCCGAUUGCGAAGGCAGCUCACUGGAGCGCAACUGACGCUGAAGCUCGAAAGUGCGGGUAUCGAACAGGAUUAGGAACCCCGUAGUCCGGCUGAUACU